CCUUACCCUUGCCUUUCCUACUGCUACUUGCCAUUGAUAAUGGGGGAAGAAAAAUUUAAAAGGAAACAGAAAAGUGAAAGAAAAGAGGACGAUCUAACCUAAAAGCUAAAAAAACCUGAGGAACCAUGAAGACAUGGGGAAGAAGAAGAUGGCUUUGGAACUUUUGACUUCCACUUGAACUCAACGAUAUUCUUGAUACCCACAU
rnacentral:lncRNA from 1 species